AGAAGAAGAAGAAUAGAACCACGCAUGAUGAAAAACAAAUGACAAGGAUUCUUGGACGGUUCUUCAAAAUCAAUGGGGCUAUCUUUCUCUUCUGUUUAUUAUCUUUCACUUCUCUCAAAUCAGAGAUGUUUUCAAAAUGA
rnacentral:ribozyme from 12 species